rnacentral:rRNA from 1 species
GAUGAACGCUGGCGGCGUGCCUAAUACAUGCAAGUCGAGCGAACGGACGAGAAGCUUGCUUUUCUGAUGUUAGCGGCGGACGGGUGAGUAACACGUGGAUAACCUACCUAUAAGACUGGGAUAACUUCGGGAAACCGGAGCUAAUACCGGAUAAUAUUUUGAACCGCAUGGUUCAAAAAUGAAAGACGGUCUUGCUGUCACUUAUAGAUGGAUCCGCGCUGCAUUAGCUAGUUGGUAAGGUAACGGCUUACCAAGGCAACGAUGCAUAGCCGACCUGAGAGGGUGAUCGGCCACACUGGAACUGAGACACGGUCCAGACUCCUACGGGAGGCAGCAGUGGGAAUCUUCCGCAAUGGGCGAAAGCCUGACGGAGCAACGCCGCGUGAGUGAUGAAGGUCUUCGGAUCGUAAAACUCUGUUAUUAGGGAAGAACAUAUGUGUAAGUAACUGUGCACAUCUUGACGGUACCUAACCAGAAAGCCACGGCUAACUACGUG